rnacentral:rRNA from 1 species
CGUGAGGGAAAGGCGAAAAGAACCCCGGCGAGGGGAGUGAAAAAGAACCUGAAACCGUGUACGUACAAGCAGUGGGAGCCUCUUUUAUGGGGUGACUGCGUACCUUUUGUAUAAUGGGUCAGCGACUUAUAUUCUGUAGCAAGGUUAACCGAAUAGGGGAGCCGAAGGGAAACCGAGUCUUAACUGGGCGUUAAGUUGCAGGGUAUAGACCCGAAACCCGGUGAUCUAGCCAUGGGCAGGUUGAAGGUUGGGUAACACUAACUGGAGGACCGAACCGACUAAUGUUGAAAAAUUAGCGGAUGACUUGUGGCUGGGGGUGAAAGGCCAAUCAAACCGGGAGAUAGCUGGUUCUCCCCGAAAGCUAUUUAGGUAGCGCCUCGUGAAUUCAUCUCCGGGGGUAGAGCACUGUUUCGGCAAGGGGGUCAUCCCGACUUACCAACCCGAUGCAAACUGCGAAUACCGGAGAAUGUUAUCACGGGAGACACACGGCGGGUGCUAACGUCCGUCGUGAAGAGGGAAACAACCCAGACCGCCAGCUAAGGUCCCAAAGUCAUGGUUAAGUGGGAAACGAUGUGGGAAGGCCCAGACAGCCAGGAUGUUGGCUUAGAAGCAGCCAUCAUUUAAAGAAAGCGUAAUAGCUCACUGGUCGAGUCGGCCUGCGCGGAAGAUGUAACGGGGCUAAACCAUGCACCGAAGCUGCGGCAGCGACGCUUAUGCGUUGUUGGGUAGGGGAGCGUUCUGUAAGCCUGUGAAGGUGUGCUGUGAGGCAUGCUGGAGGUAUCAGAAGUGCGAAUGCUGACAUAAGUAACGAUAAAGCGGGUGAAAAGCCCGCUCGCCGGAAGACCAAGGGUUCCUGUCCAACGUUAAUCGGGGCAGGGUGAGUCGACCCCUAAGGCGAGGCCGAAAGGCGUAGUCGAUGGGAAACAGGUUAAUAUUCCUGUACUUGGUGUUACUGCGAAGGGGGGACGGAGAAGGCUAUGUUGGCCGGGCGACGGUUGUCCCGGUUUAAGCGUGUAGGCUGGUUUUCCAGGCAAAUCCGGAAAAUCAAGGCUGAGGCGUGAUGACGAGGCACUACGGUGCUGAAGCAACAAAUGCCCUGCUUCCAGGAAAAGCCUCUAAGCAUCAGGUAACAUCAAAUCGUACCCCAAACCGACACAGGUGGUCAGGUAGAGAAUACCAAGGCGCUUGAGAGAACUCGGGUGAAGGAACUAGGCAAAAUGGUGCCGUAACUUCGGGAGAAGGCACGCUGAUAUGUAGGUGAAGCGACUUGCUCGUGGAGCUGAAAUCAGUCGAAGAUACCAGCUGGCUGCAACUGUUUAUUAAAAACACAGCACUGUGCAAACACGAAAGUGGACGUAUACGGUGUGACGCCUGCCCGGUGCCGGAAGGUUAAUUGAUGGGGUCAGCGCAAGCGAAGCUCUUGAUCGAAGCCCCGGUAAACGGCGGCCGUAACUAUAACGGUCCUAAGGUAGCGAAAUUCCUUGUCGGGUAAGUUCCGACCUGCACGAAUGGCGUAAUGAUGGCCAGGCUGUCUCCACCCGAGACUCAGUGAAAUUGAACUCGCUGUGAAGAUGCAGUGUACCCGCGGCAAGACGGAAAGACCCCGUGAACCUUUACUAUAGCUUGACACUGAACAUUGAGCCUUGAUGUGUAGGAUAGGUGGGAGGCUUUGAAGUGUGGACGCCAGUCUGCAUGGAGCCGACCUUGAAAUACCACCCUUUAAUGUUUGAUGUUCUAACGUUGACCCGUAAUCCGGGUUGCGGACAGUGUCUGGUGGGUAGUUUGACUGGGGCGGUCUCCUCCUAAAGAGUAACGGAGGAGCACGAAGGUUGGCUAAUCCUGGUCGGACAUCAGGAGGUUAGUGCAAUGGCAUAAGCCAGCUUGACUGCGAGCGUGACGGCGCGAGCAGGUGCGAAAGCAGGUCAUAGUGAUCCGGUGGUUCUGAAUGGAAGGGCCAUCGCUCAACGGAUAAAAGGUACUCCGGGGAUAACAGGCUGAUACCGCCCAAGAGUUCAUAUCGACGGCGGUGUUUGGCACCUCGAUGUCGGCUCAUCACAUCCUGGGGCUGAAGUAGGUCCCAAGGGUAUGGCUGUUCGCCAUUUAAAGUGGUACGCGAGCUGGGUUUAGAACGUCGUGAGACAGUUCGGUCCCUAUCUGCCGUGGGCGCUGGAGAACUGAGGGGGGCUGCUCCUAGUACGAGAGGACCGGAGUGGACGCAUCACUGGUGUUCGGGUUGUCAUGCCAAUGGCACUGCCCGGUAGCUAAAUGCGGAAGAGAUAAGUGCUGAAAGCAUCUAAGCACGAAACUUGCC